ACAGUGAGUUCUCUGGUGCCAAGAUUGUCUUAAUGAAACUGUCAAUGGGAUGACUACAUUGAAGAAACAAGGAAGAUUAGCAGGGAGAAAAGGGAAUUACAAGAAAAGGAAAGCCACGAGAGCAGUCUUGAAUCUCCAGGAAUUGAACACAGCCUCCAAUGAGGAGGCAUAGGCAAUAUCUCAACAAGUCACAGAACCACAGAAGGUUAGGGGCUGCAAGGAACCUUGAAAGAUCACCAAGUCCAACCCCUCCCCUGCCAGAGCAGGAUCACAGAGGAAUGUAUCAGGCAUACUCAUCAGCUCUUCUGCCAGAGCAAAAUGCAGUUUCCUCGUAGUACUGCCUUUAAACCCCAUUUAAGCCAAAGCAGAAUGGAUGCUUGAGCAAACCCUUCAGUUGUGUUAAGGGAUUUCAGCUGAGACCAGCACUCCCUAAACUGGCCUGGCUCUGCUUCCAUUAAAGCCACUGGAAUUGAGUAUCCUCCUGCAUGAUGACUCUUCUGCUGACAGUAAACUAAAUAUUGAACACCCCUUCAAGGAAUUUGCCUUUUUCCUUCUGAGCUUUUCAAAGGACCUGAUAAAAUGUCUAAUUAUUUGAAUAAUCCAGGCAAUGAAUAUUUGAUCACCGACAUCAAAGAUGCGGACAUGAUUCAAGAGGCGAGGCGUUUUCCCAGGUCCCAUAAUGUACCAUGCUCACAUCAUUCCAGGAGGAGCCAUGUGGGAAAUGGACAAUGUGGCAAAAAACAACAAACCAACAACCAAGCAGCUGCUUACUCUGUAGAAAAUAAAGGCUUUUGAGAUUCAUGCUACAACAUUUAGAGCCUCCUGUGGCUUUUAUUCUUCAAACAUAAGUCAGCAGUCUUACAAUAUAAUUUAGUCCUAAGUGACCUGUUCUUCUCUGGAGAGAUUCAGCCAUAGAAGAUGCAGACAGAGGCUAUUCGUCAGCUUGGAGAUAAGGAUGUAAGUGAAUACUUUGCUGGAUCAGCCCAGAGCUGAGAGA